CAUAAGUUCACAAUCGAUUGUCAAGCAGCUGACUUAAACAUAAUCGAUUAUCAUAAGUACAUAAUCGAUUAUCUUAGUCCAGAUUCUAGAGGCAUAUUUAAAAAUCAUUUUGACUAAAGUAAAUAUGCAUUAUUUAAAAUCAUUUUUCUCUUAAUUAAAUAUGCAUGAUUUGUUAAAAAUAUUUUUAGGAGAGAAGCCAGGUCUUGAGUUUAAGUUGUCAGAUCAAGAUCACAAUUAAAUACCGACUCAUAUAAAACUUAAUCUCGAUCUUUGUCUUGUGCUUGAAUCUCG
rnacentral:lncRNA from 1 species